rnacentral:misc_RNA from 1 species
GAAAUGCGAUAAGUAAUGUGAAUUGCAGAAUUCAGUGAAUCAUCGAAUCUUUGAACGCACCUUGCGCUCCUUGGUAUUCCUUGGAGCAUGCCUGUUUGAGUAUCAUGAAAUCUUCAAAGUAAAUCUUUUGUUAACUCAAUUGGUUUCUACUUUGGUAUUGGAGGUCUUUGCAGCUUCACACCUGCUCCUCUUUGUUCAUUAGCUGGAUCUCAGUGUUAUGUUUGGUUCCACUCGGCGUGAUAAGUUAUCUAUCGCUGAGGACACUGUAAAAGGUGGUCAAGGUAAAUGCAGAUGAACCGCUUCUAAUAGUCCAUUGACUUGGACAAUACUUUUAUGAUCUGAUCUCAAAUCAGGUAGGACUACCCGCUGAACUUAAGC